rnacentral:rRNA from 1 species
UGAACGCUGGCGGCAGGCCUAACACAUGCAAGUCGAGCGGUAGAGAGAAGCUUGCUUCUCUUGAGAGCGGCGGACGGGUGAGUAAUGCCUAGGAAUCUGCCUGGUAGUGGGGGAUAACGCUCGGAAACGGACGCUAAUACCGCAUACGUCCUACGGGAGAAAGCAGGGGACCUUCGGGCCUUGCGCUAUCAGAUGAGCCUAGGUCGGAUUAGCUAGUUGGUGAGGUAAUGGCUCACCAAGGCGACGAUCCGUAACUGGUCUGAGAGGAUGAUCAGUCACACUGGAACUGAGACACGGUCCAGACUCCUACGGGAGGCAGCAGUGGGGAAUAUUGGACAAUGGGCGAAAGCCUGAUCCAGCCAUGCCGCGUGUGUGAAGAAGGUCUUCGGAUUGUAAAGCACUUUAAGUUGGGAGGAAGGGUUGUAACCUAAUACGUUGCAAUCUUGACGUUACCGACAGAAUAGCACCGGC